rnacentral:rRNA from 1 species
ACUACGGGUGGCAGCAGUGGGGGAUAUUGCACAAUGGGGGAAACCCUGAUGCAGCGACGCCGCGUGUGGGAAGACGGUCCUCUGGAUUGUAAACCACUGUCCCCAGGGACGAAGAUGACGGUACCUGGGGAGGAAGCUCCGGCUAACUACGUGCCAGCAGUCGCGGUAAUACGUAGGGAGCGAGCGGUGUCCGGAAUUACUGGGGGUAAAGGGAGCGGAGGCGGGACUGCAAGUUGGGUGUCAAAUCUACCGGCUCAACCGGUAGCCGCACUCAAAACUGCAGUUCUUGAGUGAAGUAGAGGCAGACGGAAUUCCUAGUGUAGCGGUGAAAUGCGUAGAUAUUAGGAGGAACACCAGUGGCGAAGGCGGCCUGCUGGGCUUUUACUGACGCUGAGGCUCGAAAGUGUGGGGAGCAAACAGGAUUAGAUACCCUGGUAGUC